GCUGUCAUAAAGGGAGAAUGUUGCAUAGAAACAAAAUAUUAUUUUUGGAUCUGGCACAAAAUCCAUAUGAGGAUAAUCUAAGUCUGACAUUGUGUGGAUCUAACGCAAAAUCAGGAUGCAUUUGAUCAAAGUAUUUCCAUGUCUGACCGUUAGAUAAAUGUCGCAACACACUUGAAUUUCUUCUAUUAUCAUAAUAUCACGUGAUCUUUCUUGUAGUUUGCAUUGAUGCAAACAUUCUUUGUGAUAUUG
rnacentral:lncRNA from 1 species